UACGUAGGGUGCGAGCGUUGUCCGGAAUUAUUGGGCGUAAAGGGCUCGUAGGCGGUUCGUCACGUCGGGAGUGAAAACUCGGAGCUUAACUCCGAGCCUGCUUCCGAUACGGGCAGACUAGAGGUAGGCAGGGGAGAGCGGAACUCCUGGUGUAGCGGUGGAAAUGCGCAGAUAUCUGGGGAAGGCCGGCGGCGAAGGCGCCGAAUUCUGGCCUGGAUUCCUGACACUGAGGCGCGAAAGCGUGGGGA
rnacentral:rRNA from 1 species